rnacentral:rRNA from 1 species
GCGAAGAGGUCACACCCGUUCCCAUGCCGAACACGGAAGUUAAGCUCUUCAGCGCCGAUGGUAGUUGGGGGCUUCCCCCUGUGAGAGUAGGA